rnacentral:lncRNA from 1 species
CAGCCAUUUGAUGGGCCCCAAGGCCCUUGGCAGAGUCUGCCUAAGUGGAUAGAUGUGGAGGUGCACAAGUCCCUUUGACCCACAGUCUCCUCUCCAAGCGCAGAGGAGGCUGCAGCAGGGCAGCAUCUUUACCAGCGCACAGUAGCAGUGAGUGAUCAGUGGCACAAGAGGCUCCGUCCCGCACCCGUCUGAUCUCAGGCCCCGAGAAGAUGCGAAGGCAACUAUGGCUUGUGGUGAGAAUCUUCAGCAUUGAACUCAGGGCCCAUCUGAGUUACGUCAAGAAGCUUGAACUUUAUGCCAGGUCGACUGGGACAUUCAUUUGACACACAGAGCUAACACUGGUCCAGCUUGAGCCUGCACCCAGCACCUGGGGUUCCCUUGAGAGGACACCCAGCUCUCACUGCUCUGCUCCAAUCCUAGACCUGCCAGAGACUCUGUCUGAUACCUAGCACCAGGCCUGGACAGUCUGAGUCUCGUGGGGUGCUCCAAACACACAUGAAUCUCUGCCUGGUAUAUUUGGACACUGGCAGUGUCCAUUCAGCACUAAGCACAUAGCACUCGCUUUAGGUGCAACACAGUCUACAUCCUGUAUUUUACCAGAGUCCUCGGCAAAGUCUCUGCCUGGUUAAGACAGUGACCUGCCUAAUUAACAGCAGUGUUUAAGUAAGGGUCUGCUUUUUUGCCUGGUGUUCUGGAUGCCCAUGAGACACUACCCAGCACCCUGUGCCUUCCCUGAACCUGCUGAAAUCUCUCCACAUCAGCCUGGGAGCACCUGCAUCUCCUUCAGGGGUUAUGCUUUUAAAGAAUCUACAAUCUGA